rnacentral:rRNA from 1 species
GAGACCCACGCCCACAGUUGCCAGCGUACUCUCCGGAGCGACGGGUACACUGUGGGGACCGCCGCUGCUAAAGCGGAGGAAGGAAUGGGCAACGGUAGGUCAGUAUGCCCCGAAUGUCCCGGGCUACACGCGGGCUACAAUGGCUGGUACAAUGGGUAUCUACCCCGAAAGGGGAUGGAAAUCUCCUAAAGCCAGUCUUAGUUCGGAUUGAGGGCUGCAACUCGCCCUCAUGAAGCUGGAAUCCGUAGUAAUCGCGUUUCAAAAGAACGCGGUGAAUAC